rnacentral:rRNA from 1 species
ACUCCUACGGGAGGCAGCAGUAGGGAAUCUUCCACAAUGGGCGCAAGCCUGAUGGAGCAACACCGCGUGAGUGAAGAAGGGUUUCGGCUCGUAAAGCUCUGUUGUUAAAGAAGAACACGUAUGAGAGUAACUGUUCAUACGUUGACGGUAUUUAACCAGAAAGUCACGGCUAACUACGUGCCAGCAGCCGCGGUAAUACGUAGGUGGCAAGCGUUAUCCGGAUUUAUUGGGCGUAAAGAGAGUGCAGGCGGUUUUCUAAGUCUGAUGUGAAAGCCUUCGGCUUAACCGGAGAAGUGCAUCGGAAACUGGAUAACUUGGGUGCAGAAGAGGGUAGUGGAACUCCAUGUGUAGCGGUGGAAUGCGUAGAUAUAUGGAAGAACACCAGUGGCGAAGGCGGCUACCUGGUCUGCAACUGACGCUGAGACUCGAAAGCAUGGGUAGCGAACAGGAUUAGAUACCCCUGGUAGGAUAGCG